GGUCCGGCUAAUUACGUGCCAGCAGCCGCGGUAAUACGUAGGGUGCGAGCGUUGUCCGGAAUUACUGGGCGUAAAGAGCUCGUAGGUGGUUUGUCGCGUCGUUUGUGUAAGUCCACGGCUUAACUGUGGGACUGCAGGCGAUACGGGCAUAACUUGAGUGCUGUAGGGGAGACUGGAAUUCCUGGUGUAGCGGUGAAAUGCGCAGAUAUCAGGAGGAACACCGAUGGCGAAGGCAGGUCUCUGGGCAGUAACUGACGCUGAGGAGCGAAAGCAUGGGUAGCGAACAGGAUUAGAUACCCUGGUAGUCCAUGCUGUAAACGGUGGGCGCUAGGUGUGAGUCCCUUCCACGGGGUUCGUGCCGUAGCUAACGCAUUAAGCGCCCCGCCUGGGGAGUACGGCCGCA
rnacentral:rRNA from 1 species